rnacentral:rRNA from 1 species
CGUGUAGGCGGCUCAUCAAGUCUGGUGUGAAAUCGCAGGGCUUAACCCUGCAUAUGCGCUGGAAACGUAGGUGGGCGUUGUAGUUCUUUGAGGGGAAGGCUGGAAUUCCAGGUGUAGGGGUGGAAAUCUGUAGAUAUCUGGAAGAACACCGGUGGCGAAGGCGAGCUUCUAUCAGAGGACUGACGCUGAGGCGCGAAAGCGUGGGGAGCAAACAGGAUUAGAUACCCUGGUAGUCCACGCUGUAAACGAUGUGCACUAGGCGUGGGGCGACGUACGUGUUCUGUGCCGUAGUUAACGUGUUAAGUGCACCGCCUGGGGAGUAUGCUCGCAAGGGUGAA